GCGGGUAUAGCUCGGUGGUAGAACGCAUGCUCAGCAUGCGCGAGGUCCUGGGUUCAAUCCCCAGUACCUCCA
rfam:Camelus ferus unplaced genomic scaffold scaffold844, whole genome shotgun sequence.